rnacentral:rRNA from 1 species
AACGAACGCUGGCGGCGUGCCUAACACAUGCAAGUCGUGCGAGAAAGUUCCUUCGGGAGCGAGUAAAGCGGCGCACGGGUGAGUAACACGUAGGUAACCUGCCCCCCAGUCUGGAACAACUAGAGGAAACUCUAGCUAAUGCCGGAUGAGACCACGAUCCCUUCGGGGGUUGCGGCCAAAGAUGGCCUCUACUUGUAAGCUAUCGCUGAGGGAUGGGCCUGCGGGCCAUUAGCUUGUUGGUGAGGUAACGGCUCACCAAGGCUGUGAUGGCUAGCUGGUCUGAGAGGAUGACCAGCCACACUGGGACUGAGACACGGCCCAGACUCCUACGGGAGGCAGCAGUGGGGAAUAUUGCGCAAUGGGCGAAAGCCUGACGCAGCGACGCCGCGUGGGUGAUGAAGGCCUCGGUCGGUAAGACCGUGUCGCAGGGAAGGAA